rnacentral:tRNA from 1 species
AGGGGAAUAGUUCAACGGUAGAAUACCGGUCUCCAAAACCGUAGAUGAGAGUUCGAGUCUUUCUUCCCCUG